ACUCCGUAUUUUUAUGUCGCCCUAUUUUAUAUUUCAAGGAAAUAUACGGAGUUUUACGUUUUAAAUAUUCAGAGCAAUGUUACAUUUUAAACAAGAGUAUACAUAUUAUAAAAGUUAUUUUAACCUCAAAGAAAAACAAAACGUUUUAUUUCAAGAAAAAAAUAAGGAAACAAUUAGUUUACAAGGUUACGAUUUAGAAAAGGAGUUUAGAUUAAAAAGGAGUUCAGAUUAUAAUUUCCAAAUAUUUUAAAUUAAGGGAAGAUCUGAAUUUUAUUAUAAAGAAAACCCAAAACCCUUAUUUAUAUCCCCUUCUCGCGUAGUGUUGUUUCCUAUUCUACUGUCGCCGUUUUCCUUCUCUACUCGUACCUUGUUCCUGCGAUCUCGCCACACCUACCAUUGCUGCCGAAUAAUCUGUACUCUCACCUUCUCGCCUUCUAUCGGUACCAAGUUCGUAGAAGGGAGAUUCUAGCUAGCUCGUUACCCUUAAUCUGUUUUCGUACUUCAAAAGGCAAUCUACAGGUUUGCAAAUAAGCAUGCAUGGGGAUAGAUUUUUGAAGUACCUUUUCCCUUUAAGUAUUACAUUAGUUUUGGAUUUUAAUUUGUUGCAACUGCUUAACUUAACUUAUUUCUUGUGUUGGAGUUUGGAUUUAAGAAGGGGCCUAUUGAGGUCUCCAUAUUGUAUUUGAAAUAUUCGUUUUAAGACUUCCGCUGUUUAUUUUCAAAGUUAGACUAUAAAAGGUAAACUGUUUUUUUUUUUUUUAUUUAAUUAUUUCAUCUGCCUUAUACGUUCCAUCGUGGCAGUAACACCCCAAUGUUUCUCUACUCUCAAAUAUAAGGUGUUUUAAAUAGGGAGGAUUAUGGGGGUGUUACAAAAUGGUAGCCAGAGCUAUUGGUUUCAGUCUUACUAAUGUCAUUCUUGAAAAAAAAAAAAAAAAUUAUUUAAUUUUGUUUUCAAAGUUUACGAAAUAAAAUGUUCCUUUACUAAGGGUGGAAAAAGGGAGUAUUGCAUAUAGACUGAUCUGUUAAAGUGCAUUAAAUAAGUGAUUAAGAUGUCUAAGUGAUCGGCAUAUUUGACAUUAUCACGCACACUCAAUUUGUUCGAGUUUUUUUGUAGCCUGUUAACUGUACAUGUAUUUCGUACAAUUGAAGUUAGUAAUUAUAUUGGAAUCUUAAGUGUGGGUAUUACAUGAACGAUUUGAUGGUUAGUUUAACUGCUAGUGUUGUUUCAUUAUAAAGUGGUGUUUAUACACUUCCUUAGACUAGUUGUCUAUGCUUUGAUCCGCAAUACACUAUUAGUCCUUUUAUCCUUUUAAUUAGGACUAUUUGAGUAGUAAGUUGAGCACUAGUAUUAAUCGUAUUAGUGUGGAACGAGAAAGAAUUAUCUCAAUAUAGUGAGAUUAGCCAUGAUAUGUGAGCUAUAAAGCCAUAUUCUAGUAUUUAGACAGUAUGGGAUCAUUGUAUGAUCUAUAGGGAUGUGUUUAUUAAUUAGUUAGGCAGUUUAAAAGUACCGUAUGAUCAAGUGUGUUAUUUCAUUAGGUUGUUUGAUAAUGCAAGGUAUUAAUUAAAAUGGCUUUCUUAUACGGGUAUAAUUGUCUACUUGAUGUGUGUAUAAGCUACACAAAGCUUUGACUUUAUUUGUGAUGUCA